rnacentral:lncRNA from 1 species
GUAAGUAAAUGGAUAAAACAAUCAUAAAUUCAUUCACAGAGGAGCAUAAAGGACCCCAAGUAGACAAAACAACCCCAAGUAAAAAGAAUAAUACUGACAGUAUCAGCAUUGCUUCCUUCAAGCUAUACAACAGAGCCAUGGUGAGGAAAACAGCAUGGUACUGACACAAGGCAGACAUGUAAACCCACGGAAGAGAACAGGAGACCCAGACACAAAACAAUGAAGCCACAUCACUUCAUUUCGACGACGGUGUAAAAUACUCACGGUGGUGGGGCAGUCUUUUUGAACAAAAAAAAAAUACUGGGGAAAGUCACAUGCAGGAGAAUCAAAUUAUUGUCAAAAAAUUCUCACUCACCUCACUCAAAACCCAGUGCCAAGUGGUUCAAAGUCAUUAACGUAAGACUCAAAAACUCUGAAACCAGUGGAAGGAAAGUAGAGAAGACACUGAAAAACACAGGUGUAGGUGAGCGCCUUCUGCAUAGGACUCAAAUGCUCAGGAACUAAGAUCAGUCAUGAAGAACAAGGCCUCAAAAAAUGUUCCUGAGGUGUAGAAUGUGGCUAUGCUGUAGAGCCAAGGUCUUCAGUUCAACACCCACCCCACCCCACCCCACACACACACCACACCCUUACAGCAAAUGAGACAGUUAAGUAAGUAAAGCGCCAAAGAGAUAGCCUGCGGAGUAGAACAUCUUUGCCUGCUUUAUCCCUGACAAAGGACUGAUAUCCAGAAUGUAUGAAGAACUCAAAACUCUUAACAAAUGAUCUAACUGCAGAUUGGGCUGAGGAGCUAAACAGACUUUCUCACACGUACAAAUGGCUGUAUAAUUAACUAAUAAUGUUAUUUUUAUUGCUGCUGUUGUAUGUGUUCAACAUCCUUAGUCAUCAGGGAAAUCCAAACGAAAACCACA